UACGUAGGUGGCAAGCGUUGUCCGGAAUUAUUGGGCGUAAAGCGCGCGCAGGCGGUCCUUUAAGUCUGAUGUGAAAGCCCCCGGCUCAACUGGGGAGGGUCACGCGAUACUGUUCGACUCGAAGGCAGGAGAGGGAAGUGGAAUUCCCGGUGUAGUGGUGAAAUGCGUAGAUAUCGGGAGGAACACCAGUGGCGAAGGCGACUUCCUGGCCUGUUCUUGACGCUGAGGCGCGAAAGCUAGGGUAGCAAACGGG
rnacentral:rRNA from 1 species